UUUCCCGUAGGGAUACCCAACUGUUCUAGCACCAUUUAUUGAAAAGUCAACUCUUCCUUCAAUAUUCAGAAAUGUCACCUCUGUCAUAAACCAGGCAGCCACAUGUGUAUUAGACUGCUGUGUCUUCGUUAUUUCUCCAGAGGUUUGCCAAUUUUACUAAUCUCUUCAAAGAUCCAAUUUUGAUUUUUGUUCAUUUUCUUAAUUGUAUGCUUACUAUUUUAUUAGCUUGUGCUUUGGUCUUCCGUAUACUUUUUUUGGGGGGGGGUUGAAUUUACUAUUCUUUUUCUAAGCUCUUUGAAAUGGAUGAUUAGCUCAUUAAUUUUAAGUCUUUACUCUUUUCUAUUAUAUGCUAUAUAUUUUCCUGUAAGUAUUAACUUUAGAAAAAUUUCCUACCAGCUUUGAUAUAUAUGAUAUUUUCAUUAUUAUUCACUUCAAAAUGUUUUUAGUUUUUAAUUGUAACUUCUCUGUGAUAUAAAGAAGUAUGACUUUAAAUUUUCCACAUUAUGGGGAUUUCCUAGUUUUUUUUUUAUUGAUUUUAGCUUAAUUAUAUUGUGGUCAGAUCAACAUUACAUGAAUUAGAAAUUUAUCAAGAUUUGUUUUAGGCUCAGAAUAUGAGCCAAAUUUGUAAAUGUUCUGCUUGAAACAUGUAUCUUACAACAAUUGUGUGCAGUAUUCUACAUAUGCUCAUUAAGUCUAGUUUAUUAACAGAGUUCUUCAAAUCUUUUAUACCCUUUUGUCUCGUUUUUAAAAUUAAACUGAAAACGGUGUCUUAAAA